rnacentral:rRNA from 1 species
GUGGGGAAUAUUGGACAAUGGGCGAAAGCCUGAUCCAGCCAUGCCGCGUGUGUGAAGAAGGUCUUCGGAUUGUAAAGCACUUUAAGUUGGGAGGAAGGGCAGUAAGUUAAUACCUUGCUGUUUUGACGUUACCGACAGAAUAAGCACCGGCUAACUUCGUGCCAGCAGCCGCGGUAAUACGAAGGGUGCAAGCGUUAAUCGGAAUUACUGGGCGUAAAGCGCGCGUAGGUGGUUUUGUAAGUUGGAGGUGAAAUCCCCGGGCUCAAACUGUGAACUGCCUCCAAAACUGCAUGACUAGAGUACGGUAGAGGGUAGUGGAAUUUCCUGUGUAGCGGUGAAAUGCGUAGAUAUAGGAAGGAACACCAGUGGCGAAGGCGACUACCUGGAUUGAUACUGACACUGAGGUGCGAAAGCGUGGGGAGCAAACAGGAUUAGAAACCCUGGUAGUCC